rnacentral:rRNA from 1 species
AAUACAUAUCAUAUAGAUAUAAGUAAUUCAAAGGGGUUAUUAAGGAAAACUACAGCAAAUUUAUACAAAAGGAGGUAUAACACCAAAAGCUUCAGCCUUCAUAAGUUAAAUUAUGAGGUCCAAUUUGAAAAUGUAAGCGAUCCUAAGGUAAACCUUUAUAAACAGACUUCCUGAAGUAAAACAUUUUAUUAAGGAAAGGAAAGGAAAUCAACCGAGACUCCGAGAGUAAUGGUGAGUGAAAUCGGAUUAGCCUAAAAUUCUUUUAAUAAUUGAAUAACUUAAAUCCUUCCUAAGUUAUAACCAUCCCCUUAAUUGGUCAGGUGGUAAAUCUAACUAGGAAAGAUGAAUUAGUAAACAUAAAAUUUAAUAAAAUAAAUAAUAUGUACCAUAGAAGGUCAAACACAAAAGUCCUGUAGAUUAUUAAAGAAUAUAUACUACCUCCUCUGAAAAUUUAUUUAAGAGGAGGUUGGUGUAAAAUAAAAAGUACGAUGAGAGAUAACUUGUCGGAAAAAAGGGGAACCAUCCUCUAAGGCUAAGUAUUAUAAAUUUAGCGAUAGUGAAAAAGUACUGUAAAGGAAAAGUUUGAAAAGCGAGUGGUAUACAAAAAGUGAAUUAUACCUCUUAAAUUCAUUUAAGAAGGUUAUAAUGAAUCGGUGAAAUAGAUCUUGAAUUAGUAACUCUAUAAGCAGUCGAAAUUCAACUUAAAAACAUACAAGGUAAAUGAAUGACGGCGUACCUUUUGCAUAAUGGGUCAGCAAGUUAAUAGGAGUAGCAAGGUUAAAAGCCCUAGCGAAAGCGACUGGACUAUAUUACCUUCUUAAAAUAAUUAAUAAGGUAAGUAAAAUAGUGAUGGAUAAGUUGCUUCUAUUAGACCCGAAGCCAGGUGAUCUUACCAAGACCAGAUUAUAAUGGAUCGAACGGGUGAAUGUUGCAUAAUUCUCCGAUGAGUUUUGGUAAGCGGUGAAAUGCCAAUCUGACCUGGUGAUAGCUGGUUUUCUACCGAAACAUAUUUAAGUAUGACGUCUACACAAAAUUUAUGGAGGUACAGCAAGGCAAUUCCCAACAAGUAUAUAACCAAUUUAAUUUAAUUUAAUAGGUUUUUAUAUGCGUUUAGGUUGCGGGGAUCUCGAAAAUCUUACCUUUGGAAGCGAAUCUCGGAAUUACAUAAAUUGAUGGUAGACAUUCAGACUACUCAUGCUAAGUUGGGUAGUCAAGACGGAAACAGCCGAGAACACGGAUCAAGGUCCCAAAUGAUUGUUAAGUGAAAUUAAGGAUGUAACAUAAUCGAAUACAGCUGUGAAGUGAGCCUGGCAGUCGCUACUUUUAAUGAACGUAUGUAACAACGCAUCAGCAGUACAGAUCGUAGCGCCGAAAAUUUAACGGGUCUUAAACAAUCAACCGAUAUCGUGUUGGUUAAUAAUAAAUUUUUACUAUUUAAAUUUAUUCUUAAUCUAGGUAGUAGAACAUUCAGUCUAACCAAUAAUAAAAUAGUGUUUCAUUAUUUUUAGGAAACUGAAGAGAGAAUGCUGACAUGAGUAACGUAAAAAGAAGUUAUAAUACUUCUCGCCGAAUACGAAAGGGUUGCAAAUUGGAAAGGUUAAUCCGUUUUGUGUGAAUGCGGCCUCUAAGGACCAAAACCAAAGUUUUGGCUGAUGAGUACAGAAUAGAAACCCUAAUAAAUUAAUUUAUAGGGCAGGAAAAUAAUAUUUUUCUCGUAAGUUAAAUUACGAUGAUAUAAACUACCGUACCCUAAACCGACACAGGUUCGUAGGUAGAGUAUACUAAGGCGUAGAGCUAAAAGUUGUUAAGGAACUCGGCAAGUUCACCUCAUAAGUUAGACGAUAAGAGGUACCAUCUAUGAUUUCAAUUAUUAAGAUUUUUACUUUAUAUCUUUCCAGGAAAUAAAUUCUAAGUUAAAAAUAAUAGUUAGAUAGAUGGUGACACAGAAUCGGAGGCCCCGACUGUUUACUAAAAACACAACACAGUGCAAUCAUUAAUGUGGUAGUAUACUGUGUGAAAUUUGCCCAAUGCCAUUAAUAUAAAAGCGGUCAUGGGAAACUGUGACUAAUUGAAAAUCUGGUUAAUAGCGGUCUUAAUCAUGAGGAUCCUAAGGUAGCAAAAUAAAUUGGCCAUUAAAUGUGGUCCGGUAUCAAUAAUGUAACGAUGGCCUCACUGUCUCUACAACUUGCUCAGUGAAAUUGAAUUACGCGUGCAGAUGCGCGUUACCUCCAGUGGGACGGGAAGACCCUAUGCAGCUUUACUGUAGUUAGUUAUCACAUGAAUCUAGAACAACUUUAAUUAAUAGUGAAUAGGCAAGUCGAAAGACAUAUAGUGGAAACCUUAUAAUCUAAGUUGGGUUUGUGUUUACCUUAUACACCAUUAUUUCUCUCUAUUAUUUUAAAAUUAGAAUAAUAGCGUAAUAAUGGAAAUAUCAAAGGGAGAGUUGACUAAUUGGCAGUUUGACUGGGGCGGUCGUCUUUAAUAGAGUAGCAAAGUACAACCAAAUAUUUCAUUUUUAUAUAAAUAUCUGAUGUUUUAUGAAUAAUGGAAAUAAGAUAUUAAAACAAAUAUUUCAUACAGAAAGUAAAAAAAUUUAACUAAAAAAAACACUUUGUCUUUACUUUCUCUGUCAAUUUUACCUUUAUUGGUCAAAAGGCAGGUCUAGGAAAGAAUAAGAUAAAGUCACUUAUUAAAAACUUUUUUAUAAGGUAUAGCUAGAAAUUGAAUGGAGAUCAAUCAACCAGUGAAGGGUUGUGCAGAGUUCAAUGACGGAAAGCAUGCUUAACUGAAAGACUUAAAAGUCGCACAGAUACGUAAGUAGGGCAUAGUGACCCCUCGCUAUAGAAUGGAAUAGACGGGGAUCAAUUGAUAAAAGUUACGCUAGGGAUAACAGGCUGAUAGCCGACGAGAGUACACAUUGUCUCGGCUGAUUGGCACCUCGAUGUCGACUCAUCCUAUCCUCCGGGGGAAGAAGCUUGGAAGGGUUCGGCUGUUCGCCGAUUAAAAGGGUACGUGAGUUGGGUUUAAUACGACGUGAGUCAGUAUGGUCCCUAUCUUCUGGAGGAACAAGUAGUAAAAAGGGGCAGACCUUCUAGUACGAAAGGACCAAUAGGCUGUGUUUCUCUAGUGCACCAAUUGUUUGUAUUAUUUGUAAGGGACUUAUACUAUCUUAACAGAGGUAUAGGAAAAAUCCUUUUUAACUUUCUUGCAAAAAGUUUUUACUCCUAAAAAUGAGAAAAAGGUAACAAAUAGGAAAGCAUAGUUGGGUAGCCACAAACAUAAUAGAUAAGUGCUGAAUGUCUCUCAAGCAAGAAUCUAACCCCUAGAUACUAAUAAAAUGGAUCUCUUCUUAAAAAUAAUUUUAAUGAUAGAGUCUAAAACCAUUAAUUAAGAAAUAGAACAUUUCUAGAUAGGCUGCAAAUGUACGUACUGCAAAG